AACGCGAAGAACCUUACCCAGGCUCGAAAUGUAGAGGGCGAUACCAGAGAUGGUAUUUUCCGUAAGGACUUCUAUAUAGGUGCUGCAUGGCUGUCGUCAGCUCGUGCCGUGAGGUGUUGGGUUAAGUCCCGCAACGAGCGCAACCCUUAUCAUUAGUUGCCAACAUUUGAGGUGGGAACUUUAAUGAGACUGCCUAGGUUAACUAGGAGGAAGGUGAGGAUGACGUCAAGUCCGCAUGGCCUUUAUGUCUGGGGCUACACACGUGCUACAAUGGUCGGUACAGAAGGCAGCGAAGCCGUGAGGUGGAGCAAAUCCGCUAAAGCCGAUCUCAGUUCAGAUUGUAGUCUGCAACUCGACUACAUGAAGCUGGAAUUGCUAGUAAUGACGUGUCAGCAACAACGUCGUGAAUACGUUCCCGGGCCUUGUA
rnacentral:rRNA from 1 species